AGAUUGAACGCUGGCGGCAUGCCUUACACAUGCAAGUCGAACGGCAGCACGGGAGCAAUCCUGGUGGCGAGUGGCGAACGGGUGAGUAAUACAUCGGAACGUGCCCAGUAGUGGGGGAUAACCCGGCGAAAGCCGGACUAAUACCGCAUACGACCUACGGGUGAAAGCAGGGGAUCGCAAGACCUUGCGCUAUUGGAGCGGGCCGAGUGUACGAGAUUAGCUUGUUGGCGGGGUAAAAGCCCACCAAGGCGACGAUCUGUAGC
rnacentral:rRNA from 1 species